rnacentral:rRNA from 1 species
AGAGUUUGAUCCUGGCUCAGGAUGAACGCUGGCGGCAGGCCUAAUACAUGCAAGUCGCACGGGAUCCGUUCCUUCGGGAUCGGUGAGAGUGGCGGACGGGUGCGCAACGCGUAUGCAACCAGCCCCCUGCGGGCGGAUAGCCGGUGGAAACGCCGGAUAAUACGCCAUGUUGCCGGGACGGGGCAUCCCGUCUUGGUGAAAGCGGAGACGCGGCGGGGGACGGGCAUGCGUCCCAUUAGCUAGUUGGCGGGGUGACGGCCCACCAAGGCUGCGAUGGGUAGGGGAUCUGAGAGGACGGUCCCCCACACUGGCACUGAGACACGGGCCAGACUCCUGCGGGAGGCAGCAGUAGGGGAUAUUGGGCAAUGGGCGGAAGCCUGACCCAGCCAUGCCGCGUGAGGGGAUGAGGCCCUACGGGUCGUGAACCUCUUUUAUGCGGGGACAACGCCCCCCACGUGAUGGGGGAUUGAGGGUACCGCAGGAAUAAGCGCCGGCUAACUCCGUGCCAGCAGCCGCGGUAAUACGGAGGGCGCGAGCGUUAUCCGGAUUCAUUGGGUUUAAAGGGUGCGCAGGCGGCCCGUUAAGUCAGCGGUGAAAUCCCGGGGCCCAACCCCGGAAGUGCCGUUGAUACUGUCGGGCUGGAAUGCGGUCGAGGCGGGCGGAACGUGGCGUGUAGCGGUGAAAUGCGUAGAUAUGCCACAGAACGCCGAUAGCGGAGGCAGCUCGCCAGGCCUGCAUUGACGCUCAGGCACGAAAGCGUGGGGAUCGAACAGGAUUAGAUACCCUGGUAGUCCACGCCGUAAACGAUGGGCGCUCGUCGUCGGCGGCAGAAUGUAGGCGCACAAGCGAAACCGAUACGCGCCCCACCUGGGGAGAACGAUCGCAAGGUUGAAACUCAAAGGAAUUGACGGGGGCCCGCACAAGCGGAGGAGCAUGUGGUUUAAUUCGAUGAUACGCGAGGAACCUUACCUGGACUCAAAUGGUGGGUGGCCGGGGCAGAGAUGCCCCUUCCCUACGGGGCGCCCAGCAAGGUGCUGCAUGGUUGUCGUCAGCUCGUGCCGUGAGGUGUCAGGUUAAGUCCUAUAACGAGCGCAACCCCUACGUCCAGUUGCCAGCGGGUGAAGCCGGGGACUCUGGAGGGACUGCCGGCGCAAGCCGAGAGGAAGGUGGGGAUGACGUCAAAUCAGCACGGCCCUUACGCCCAGGGCGACACACGUGCUACAAUGGCCGGUACAGAGGGCAGCCACCCUGCGAGGGGGAGCGAAUCUCGAAAGCCGGCCUCAGUUCGGAUCGGAGUCUGCAACUCGACUCCGUGAAGUUGGAUUCGCUAGUAAUCGCGCAUCAGCCAUGGCGCGGUGAAUACGUUCCCGGGCCUUGUACACACCGCCCGUCAAGCCAUGAAAGUCCGGGGUACCUGAAGUCCGUGACCGCAAGGAGCGGCCUAGGGUAAAACGGGUGAUUGGGGCGAAGUGGUAACGAGGUAGCCGUCCCGGAAGGUGCGGCUG